GGAAGUAAAAGCCGUAACAAGGUCUCCGUUGGUGAACCAGCGGAGGGAUCAUUACAGGACUCGCAAGACUCCUACAACCCUGUGAACUUAACUAUAAGCACGUUGCUUCGGCGGGUGUCUCGGAGGGGGUUCUCCCUCCCCGAGACGCUAAACCCGCCGGCAGCCUACUAUACUCUGUCUCUUUGCGUUGGCAUCUCGAGUACAAUCAAACAAGUUAAAACUUUCAACAACGGAUCUCUUGGUUCUG
rnacentral:misc_RNA from 1 species